AAUAGAUACCCCGGUAGUCCACGCCGUAAACGAUGUCGACUUGGAGGUUGUUCCCUUGAGGAGUGGCUUCCGGAGCUAACGCGUUAAGUCGACCGCCUGGGGAGUACGGCCGCAAGGUUAAAACUCAAAUGAAUUGACGGGGGCCCGCACAAGCGGUGGAGCAUGUGGUUUAAUUCGAUGCAACGCGAAGAACCUUACCUACUCUUGACAUCCAGAGAACUUAGCAGAGAUGCUUUGGUGCCUUCGGGAACUCUGAGACAGGUGCUGCAUGGCUGUCGUCAGCUCGUGUUGUGAAAUGUUGGGUUAAGUCCCGCAACGAGCGCAACCCUUAUCCCUUUGUUGCCAGCGGUUCGGCCGGGAACUCAAAGGAGACUGCCAGUGAUAAACUGGAGGAAGGUGGGGAUGACGUCAAGUCAUCAUGGCCCUUACGAGUAGGGCUACACACGUGCUACAAUGGCGUAUACAAAGAGAAGCGACCUCGCGAGAGCAAGCGGACCUCAUAAAGUACGUCGUAGUCCGGAUUGGAGU
rnacentral:rRNA from 1 species